GUUGUCGUUUGGUUUGGCUCCUGCCUCUCCUUCGAUGCGCGUGCUCGUCUCAUAAAUUUACUAAAUCGCUGGUAUUUUCCAGCUUCAAACACCAAACAGUCACUUGGGCAUCAAGCAGCCUGGAUGUCCGCUCUUUUUCCCUUGUACAUCUAACCUUUUAUGUGCAAAUAUUUCAAUAACGGGACCGAUUGUAGCAGAAAUGUAAGAAGAAAUAUGUUUUCUGUGCUGAAUUCUAUUUCGUAGCGAGGUUGUUCCAGUUUUCUUUUAGGCGAGGUGGUAGCAGCCCUGCUCUGUGUUAAAGCUGCUGGUGUUGGGUCAUAAUUUUUUUUCCUGCAAAUUUAUGUGCUAGAUGAGAAACAAACCCUGAAAUAGGAAACCUGCCAGCUCCGUGGGUUCUCUUCCAGUGGAAAAUCAUAUUAGAGAUUAAGUGAUGAUGCUUCACUGUAAAACUGUCUGGUGGAGGGAAGGAACUGAGUCUCCCUCCCUCCUCCCCAACUCCUCUUCAUGCUGCUUUCCCUUCCUGAGAAGAAACCUCAGAAGAAAGGGUGGAUCAUUUCCUACCAGGUCCACAGGUUUUGUCCCAGGCUGCUGCUUUCGUGCAUCACUUUUUACCCAUCUUCACAAAUUUCUCAUCCCAGAAGCCGGUGCUUCUCUCUCCGCCCCCCCCAAAAAAACCAACAACCCAGGAGAUGGUGACUGCAUCCCGAGGAAUCAGCGCUCGGCAUGGGCUCCGCACCGGUAUCCUUCCAGCUUGCUCCCCUCCGAAAGGAGCCUGCAACCCGACCUCGGCAGUAGUAAAUCUAUUUCUGCUCUCAAAAAGCAGCCAGGGUUACUCUUGGCUGACCCAGUUAUUUUGUGAGGCAGGAAAAGCUCGGCCGUACGUGCGGUGUUACGGCGUGGCCUCCGGCGCAUCUGUGGUUAGGUCGGUAUAUAUAGCUGAUUACGAAUCUUUGCUAUUUCUUUCCUGUUUUUUUUUUUUAAUAUAAAUAUUGGGCAAUUUCUCCUUUAAAAUAGAAAAGGCUUAGCCAGCAUUAUUUCCCAGUCGAUUUUGCUUCCCCGUCUCCCAUUGCUGUUUUUAAUGCCAUGCUAGACAGAGAGGUCACAGGCGCCCGCUUGGUUGCUGAUGAAUCUUUCUAGCAGUGAGUCACGUCAGGAAAUACUGAUACACUUAAUCACGUAACGAGAGAUCUGUCACUGACAACGCUGAGCAGUCAGAACCUUACAUGGGCCUGAAGCAGCUAUUUCUUCAACUCCAGGGCUCUCAGUGUAUUUACGAACGAACCGGCAGAAUAAUGCUAAUAUUUAAAGAUGUGGAAGGGGAAAAAGCCGCUCGGGUAGCUGCAGCCCACCUCUCUGCAGCAGGCAGGGGGGACACAUCUGUCGAGGCUGGUUCUGACUUUUCCCACCGCGGCAUCCAACGUGCUGAAAUAAAAGUUCCUGAUUUUGGGGAAAGCAGGAUUUUUGCUGGAAACUUCGCUCUCCUUUUAGUGACUCUUACCAGGAUGGACGGAAGCUACGUGGCUGAAUACAGUGAUUAAAUCUUGUUUAGCCCUUGCCUUUGUGUUUACUGGGAGCCAGAUGUUCAGCAGAGCUACGGGGAAGACGGCCGCGUCGGCUCCACAUCGCCUCGAGGGAAGGGGGGAUCGGGAUGCAGGGAAGUGCCGGUGCUGGAGCUGGAGGGGCUGGAAGCUCUCCCCUGGACCGCAGAGGUAUUUGGACACCUGUAUGAUAUAGAUACAAUAGCUGUAUUUGGACACCUGUUAUACGUAGGUGUAUAUAUAAUAGGUGUGUUUAUAAAUCUCUAUAUAAUAGGUGUCCAAACACAGCUAUUAUAUAUACACCUAUGUAUCAUAGGUGUCCAAAUACCUCUGUGGUCCGGGGAAGAGCUUCCCAAUGGCAUGACAUAUAUAUUUGUAUUUUUUUCUCUAUAUAUAUUCCUAUAUAUACUAUAUAAUGGAACUAAGAGCUACUUGGAGCAAACACCAAACCAGUCCAUGCAAAUCCCGGUCACCGCCUGUCCUUUCUUCCUCUGUGUGUGACCUUGGUGCUGUGCCGUGGGUCAGACACGUCCUCGAGCGCGGGGUCCCGGAGCCGAGCGCUGACGGAGGCAGGAGCUAAUCUCAGCCGGGAGGUCACGCGCUUGCCGGGCAAGAGGGGCUGCUGCUUUCCGGCAUGCAAAAGCAUCCCAGGGAUGUCAUGCUGAAUUUGCACGGGGCGUUUUGUUCCUGGAAGGCAAGGGGGAUAUCUGCCCGCACCUUGGUGCCUGCUACGGCUUGCCAAAAAUUAGAGCGGCUGUAGGAUGGUGGGAUCGUCCCUGCGGCAGCCCAGGGAGCUUGCAUUUUCCUUUUUCUCCAACACAACCCUCUCCUGGGGUCUUGCAGACUGUGCUAUAACGCUUUCCCAACCUGCCUGUUUCCCUCUUUUUGUUUUUGUUCCCCCCACGUUAGUGUUUACGCUGCCGCGUUUUUCCUCACUACGUUUUCCUGCCCUCCGCGGCAUCUCUGCACAUGUUGGCUGCAGGGAGCACUCGUACCCCAUAUUAAUCAUUUCCCCGUGGAAAACUGAGUAGAUAUUUCAAGGCAGAAGGGGAAAGAAGUAGUCCUUGCCCUAACAGCAUAGCUCUUGUCCCUGCAAAUCCCUUGAUUUCUAAAGUUAGGGUCUGGUGUGGCUUGGACCAAUGUCCAGCUGAUGGAACCGUGCUGGUGAGUUGCUCGUAUUUUGGCUAUAACUAUUUGCUGUCUUUGCCUCCGGAGCAUUUGAUUACACACUUCAGUAAUUUUAGCAUAUGGCAUGAUUAAUGAGUAAUGUAAUUCCUCAUGUUGCCAGGACUCUAGCUGGUUACAUUUAUAAAAUCCUCUCCGUGCAAGUAGGAACACACUUGGGUGAAUUAUUUAGGGUUGUGCCUUUUCUUAUAUUCCCUUUAAGUUGUACCCAGAGGUGUCACCGUUGCAGUGUACGGUUGCUUUUAAAAGAAAAAUCUCUAUUCAUGUGCAGAGUGAAGUUACUGCAAAGGGCAGCUCUCGCCGCUGGCCGGGCUGAGGCUCCCCAGGGACAGCCCGGAGGUGGCUGUGGGAAGACGCUGGAGCCGCUCGCACAUCCCUCGCUUUCUUGGAGGUCAUGCGAAGCAGGAAAAAAAACCGAUCUCAUUCCCAGCCGCUGAAUUGCAGCUCCUCAAUUCCCACAGCAAGCGGUCGGGAGGGUUAACGGCACAGAUUGACCCUGCCUGCAGUAGGAGCAGGCAGGAGCAGGCAGGAGGAGAGGAGCCGGGCGAUGGAUGGGAUGGGCAGCCCUCGCCCGAAGGGUGGCCUGGAAAUCUGCCCAGGAGCAGCUGCUGGCAGGCGGCGCCGGCCUGAAGGGCCAGCUUUGAUCUGCAAUUAAAGACCAGAGAAAGAGAAAGUAAAACUUCACUUAUUUUAUUUUAAAUUUUUUUUUUUUUUUUUGGAGCGGCAGGGUUUUGUGCUGCCUGCCUGACCGGCAGCCAGGGCGCAGAGGUUGGAACGGGGUGCUGCUUGCGGGGCUCCCGUGUGUCCCCCUCCUCCCCUCAUCCCUGUGGGGAGAUAUUUCUGCCCAGCAGACAGCCCAUCAAAAACAUAAAUGCAAUUUGAUGUGGCUGCAAUCAACGCUUUAUUGGUGUGGGUGGGAAUAUCCUCAUUGGAAAGCGGGAUUUGGGGAGAUAGGAGACGUGGCUGCAUUGCAAAGCUCCCGCUAACCCAUCAUAACAAUGAGCAGAAAAAUCCUCUUUCGCCCCCCACAACAGUUGCGUUGCGGAGCUCCCGCUAACCCAUCAUCCUACGAGCGGAAAAAUCCUUUUUUUCCUCCACAACGGCUUCAUUCGAUUCCAGGACAGCAGGCGCCUUGCAUCUCCUCAUGCCCUUAAGCUGCUUCCUUUCAGCAUCCCCUUUCUCCUGCUGCUGCCUGUAUUUUUUUUCCACGUGUCCUGGGAGCAAUAAGGGACUCCGGGCAGGAUCCACUGCUGCUGCCUGAGCACGUGGGAGAGGAAAAGCAAACAGCGAGAUGCAAGCGUGAAGGUUUUUUCCCAUGCCUCGGCGUUUCCUGCCCCGGUGAUGUUGCUUCUCGUGGGGAAACAGCAUUACGUUGCAGAGCCGCAGGGCGAGGGGAGGGGCUGGUAGGGCAUCACACCCAGCUCCUGCCUCGUCAUCCUCAAAGAGCUUCAUGUGAAUUAAUCACCUGUUUUGGAAAACAAAGUCUGCGGAGCAUCCUGUGUGGAGCAGCGGCAGUUUCCAUGCCCGCAUCCUGUCUUGCUCCAGUCCCCAGCUCCCCCGGGGGCGAGGGACGCCAGGAAAUUGGGACCCCUCUUGCGUAGGGUAAGGGUGGUCCCGUGCCGAGGAGCUUGUGGGGCCGAGGGAGGAGGGACGGGAUGCGGAGAGUCCGGUAUGGGUGACGGUUCCCCUCGCCCCUGCCUGCCCCAAAUAGAAUCACAGAAUCAUAGAAUCUUUAAGGUUGGAAAAGACCUCUGGGAUCAUCAAGUCCAACUGCCAAUCUAACACCACCGUGUCUACUAGACCAUGUCCUGAAGUGUCAUGCCUACGUGCUUUUUGAACACCUCCAGGGACGGUGACUCCACCACCUCUCUGGGGAGCCUGUUCCAAUGUCUGACCACCCUUUCAGUGAAGAAGUUUUCCCUAAUAUCCAACCUAAACCUCCCCUGGCACAACUUGAGGCCGUUUCCUCUUGUCCUAUCGCUUGUUACUUGUCCCAAGAGGCCAAUGCCCACCUCACCACAACCUCCUUCCAGGCAGUUGUAGAGAGCGAUCAGGUCUCCCCUCAGCCUUCUCUUCUCCAGGCUAAACACCCCCAGUUCCCUCAGCCACUCCUCAUCAGACUUGUGCUCCAGACCCUUCACUACUCCGUUGCCCUUCUCUGGACACACCCCAGCACCUCAAUGUCCUCCUUGUAGUGAGGGGCCCAAAACUGAACACAGAACUUGAGGUGCGGCCUCACCAGUGCCCAGUACCGGGGGACAAUCACUGCCCUGGUCCUGCUGGCCACACUGUUCCUGAUCCAAGCCAGGAUGCCGUUGGCCGCCCUGGCCACCUGGGCACACUGCUGGCUCAUGUUCAGCCGGCUGUCGACCAACACCUCCAGGUCCUUUUCCUCCAGGCAGCUUUCCAGCCACGAAAUAACGAGGUGCCCGAGGCUGCGUGACUGAUGGGAAGGCCGUGGCCAGUCUUCCUCGCUUCAGCCUCCAGCCACGAACGCAACCCGAGAUGAGGUGACGGUGGCAUUUGGGAGCGGCAUGAUGCAAGCCCAGCCCCAGCAAGGCGACACCGUCCAGCAGUCUAGACGCCGAAUAUGACCCUACCUUUUUUUUUUUUCUUUAUAAAUGGUCUCCACUCCAGUACAGAACGUCCUCUGACUUCUGAAGUAUUUGUAAUAUUUCCACGCCCUCCGUUGCCAAAAAAACUUCUAUAAAAAGCC